rfam:Sorghum bicolor cultivar BTx623 chromosome 3, whole genome shotgun sequence.
GUAGUCGGAUUCACAUCGACCUAAAUGUGUUGGGGUGGAUUGGAGUGGAAGUUGAACUAAAUUUCACCCCAAUCCACCUUAAUACAUGUGGAUUGAGGUAAAUUCGAUA